CUGAGUCAUUGACGUAACCUACAGAAGAAGCACCGGCUAACUCCGUGCCAGCAGCCGCGGUAAUACGGAGGGUGCGAGCGUUAAUCGGAAUUACUGGGCGUAAAGCGCGCGUAGGCGGUUGUGUAAGUCGGAUGUGAAAGCCCAGGGCUUAACCUUGGAAUUGCAUUCGAAACUGCACGGCUAGAGUAUGGGAGAGGGAAGCGGAAUUUCCGGUGUAGCGGUGAAAUGCGUAGAUAUCGGAAGGUAACAUCAGUGGCGAAGGCGGCUUCCUGGACCAAUACUGACGCUGAGGUGCGAAAGCGUGGGGUAGCGAACAGGAUUAGAUACCCCUGGUAGUCCACGCCGUAAACGAUGACAACUAGAUGUUGGGAGGAUCUGCCUCUCAGUGUCGCAGCUAACGCGUUAAGUUGUCCGCCUGGGGAGUACGCCGGCAACGGUAAAACUCAAAGGAAUUGACGG
rnacentral:rRNA from 1 species